ensembl:antisense Gm16365 predicted gene 16365
GAACUCACUGCGUACUUUGAUUUCUUGAUGGCUGACUAUGAGUACUGAAAACUCCAACCCGGCAGCGUGUAGUGCUGUGUGCCUCUCCUUAUAGAGUUAAACUCAGCCAGGCCUGCCCGAGAGAAACCCUAAACCGGCGCCACAUUCCUGCUGGAACUCUGUCACAGUCUCAGCUCAAACUGGCCUCCAGAUGGACAAGGUGAAGAGACAGAGGCCAUACCCAUGAGGAAGAGGCUCUUGGCAGACAUGGAAUCUACUGUCACCUUAUUCUUGGAUUCUUAAGCCUCGUAAACACUGAGUGAGUCCAGCUGGACCUGUCAAUCACCUCGCCGGGAGACUACCCCUCAGGAAAAUUGAUUCACCUGAAGAUGCUACAGAGAUGGGGGAAAUAAUUAUUCUCUUAAUGAGAUAACAUGUGUAUGCCUCCCUGAGAAGUCCCUCCCUCAAUCUAGCUGUUUGCAGAUCUUUCCUACUAAGACAGCCUGCUUUCCCCAGUUCUAACUCUAAAACUGUAACUUCUCCUUUCCCCUUGUCUCAUCUUUGGCUAAAGACCAAAACCUCCUCCUGCUUCCAACCUCUGUACACUCUCUUUCUUUAACCCCUCCAAGCCCCAGUUGCUUGGUGCCCUUCCUUGCAGAACCUGCCGACUCUCCUGAAACCUACCUCGGAAGGCAUGCCAUGCUCUCCUCUCCAGCUCCCCUUUCCAGGCAGCAGUUGAGGUUUGUAGCUUCCUGACCUUGUGGUUUACUCUUGAGCGCCAAUAAAAGAGUCCACAAGC